AACGGCCAUACCAUGCUGCAUAGACCGGUUCUCGUUAGAUCACCGAAGUCAAGCAUCAUUGGGCGCGGUCAGUACUUGGGUGGGUGACCACCUGGAAACACCGCGUGCCGUU
rnacentral:rRNA from 1 species